GGAUAGUAGAGGAUAGGAAAGGCAGCAGAACACAACAGACACUAGUAUGGCAAUAUGUAAAUCAAUGGAUGUGUAACUGAUGUGAUUCUGCAAUCUGUAUAUGGGGUAAAAAUGGGAGCUCAUAACCCACUUGAAUCAAAUUGUGAAAUAUGAUAUAUCAAGAACUAUGUAAUGUUUUGAACAGCCAACAAUAAAAAAAUAAAAAAAAAAUAAGUUCUAGGGCUGGGGUUGUGGCUCAGUGGUAGAGCGCUUACCUAGCACAUGUGAGGCACUGGAUUCUAUCCUCAGCACCACAUAAAAAUAAAUAAAUAAAAUAAAGAUAGUGUGUCCAACUGAAAAAAAAAUGAGUUCUAGAACAUUCUGCAUUUUUUCACUUAUGAUUUCCGCACAGCAACUGAAUAUCUGGAAAGAAAGUUGUCCUGGGUUUCUCUCUGUGCAGUUUCUAGUUGUCUGUAACUAUGAAGCUCCUGGUAUUGCUUGAUUUAUUCUCCUGUUCCCUGAAGCAGGCUUUUUCCUCUUGGUUGUAACUUUUUACUGCCGGGGUCCCAGAGCUCUGAAGACCUGGGAGCUGCUGGCCUGGGGUCGGCUUGCCCUUCACAAUAUUCCGCAGAAUCUUUUCACGCCCCCUCUCUCCGUGGGCCUCGUUCCACUGGCCGUUACAGGCUUCUGUAGACUGCACCUUCAGCAGAAAAUUUAUUCUCAUUUAGAGGAAACUAGGGAAAAAAAAUGAAGGUGGAGUCAACUUCUGGUGACUUAUAGGCAGUUAGAGUCAAAAGUUUGAAAAACGGGCUUCUGAAUCAGCAGAGGUUUUACAGAGUGACUGGUGGAACUGCAUACCGAUGGGCGAGAGUUUGGAGAUGCCAAGAAAUAAUGCUACUUCUAUUACGACUAAUAAAAAGACUGCAUUGCUAAAUUCAGGGCUAGGAAGGUUAAUGAUGAUACAUUCUUUUUUAGUAUCAAAGAUUAACAUGAUAACUUGCAUAUUAUAGUUAAUUCAGACACACUGCUAAUGGAGGAGGCAUACAAAAUUAAUUUCUAUAGCACCUCGUAAAUUAGGAGCCCUCCGUCUCCUUUGUCUGGCGCUGUCUUGGCAAGAGGCCUGAGUACUCCUCUUGAGGCAUCGUUGGCCCUGGGAGAAUCUGGGGAGUCAGGGUGUGUUCCCUGCAGUAACUGAUUCACUGCCAAUCUCUGCUGGGUGCUUCAUCACCUACCAUUCUCUGCCAGGUGGGGAUCUUGGGGUCAACGAUGAAUGAGAAUGUGGAUUGAGCUGAGCUGAGAAGAGGGAGAAAGGAGGGAGAAAGAAUGAGCAAGAGACUAGGGACAGCUGUUCCUUCCAAGGGCCGUUUGCAUGUUGUCUUCCCCCUACCGAGGACCAAGGCCCACUGAGGCGAAAAGGUCCUCAGCCCAAGCUUCCAGAGCACAGCCUCUGGUCAGGACAAAGUGCAUCCUGAGGGCAACAAAGGAGGGGAGAUGGGACUGUCUCAGGGAAGAGGUGUUAUCCAGGUCCAUUCUGUUCAAUCUC
rnacentral:lncRNA from 1 species